rnacentral:misc_RNA from 1 species
GAUGAGGAACGUAGCGAAAUGCGAUAAGUAAUGUGAAUUGCAGAAUUCAGUGAAUCAUCGAAUCUUUGAACGCACAUUGCGCCCGCCAGCACUCUGGCGGGCAUGCCUGUUCGAGCGUCAUUUCAACCAUCAAGCCCCCAGGGGCUUGUGCUGGGGCCCUGCGGCUGCCCGCAGGCCCUGAAAACCAGUGGCGGGCUCGCUAGUCACACCGAGCGCAGUAGCACAUCUCGCUCAGGGCGUGCGGCGGGCUCCUGCCGUGAAACCCCCCACUGUAACCCCAAAGGUUGACCUCGGAUCAGGUAGGAAUACCCGCUGAACUUAAGCAUAUCAAUAAGCGGAGGA